UAACUGCAGCAGACCCAAGUUUGGUUGGGUAACAAAUAUUCCCAAGAAUGAUGAACUAGCAAAAUGCCUCAAGAUACAGGAAAAGUAAGACCAAGGGACCACUGAGCAUCAAGGGAGGGCCAGGAGGCUGGCUUGGGACCAGACCAGACUCUCCAGAAGGGUUUGUGAGCGCGGCACCCGGUGGACAGAGACCCAGAAAGCUGGGCACGCCUGCGAGGAGAUCCCCCUCCGUGUCUUCGUCAGAAUGCGGAGCCUCGGGAGACCUGAGCCGUGGCACCGACCCUCCGGCCAGAGCCCAGGAGUCAGCCCAUGAGUGAAGGGGCUCCUUGCAGGGCCCAAUGCCAACCCUCCCACA